AGCCUUGGGCAGAGGAGACUGACUUCUACCACAUAACUGUCUUGAGAUUGCAAUUUUAAUGGGAUUACAGUAGGCAUAAAGAAAAUGGGAUUUAAAUUAGUGCAUCUAUAAAUCCUGAACUAUGAAGAGACAAGUACCUCUGAAGAAGAUCUACAAGGUACAAUAAUGCAGAAGGCAGUUUUAUCUUCUUAUCUGCGCCUUCAGUCUGGUCCAGAGACUGAAAAGGAAAUACCAAUACUGCCUGUGCAGAGUACAUUACUUGAGUGAGAAGGGACAUACAUAGAACCUAAUGGCUGCAAGCAGCUGGCGACAAGCACAGUACAAAGGUAGCAGUCAGUUUCCUGCAUGGCUCUGAUAAUACACCU
rnacentral:lncRNA from 1 species